rnacentral:lncRNA from 1 species
AAGGAUUGUGCUCGAUAUUCAUAUGAUGAAGACGUCAAUCUGUUUAAUUGAGGUCUGGAGCUGACAUGUUAGAAACUGCUAGUUGUCGUCCUUUAUUAAUCUACCAAGCGGAAAUGUGUAAUUUCUUUCUGGAUGCAUUUUCGUUUUGAGGUUUUCUCCAUGAUCCACGUUGAAACUUGAUCAAUUUCUUGCAAAAUUCAGAGACUACUGUUUGCAUUUAAACAACUAAACCUUAAAGUGCCUGGUUUAUAAUACAUAUGUACAUUGUCGGAAAUAUAAAAAAAAA